UACGUAGGGUGCGAGCGUUGUCCGGAAUUAUUGGGCGUAAAGAGCUCGUAGGCGGUUUGUCGCGUCGGCCGUGAAAACUUGGGGCUUAACCCCAAGCCUGCGGUCGAUACGGGCAGACUUGAGUUCGGCAGGGGAGACUGGAAUUCCUGGUGUAGCGGUGAAAUGCGCAGAUAUCAGGAGGAACACCGACGGCGAAGGCAGCUCGCUGGGACGGUACUGACGCUGAGGCGCGAAAGCGUGGGGAGCGAACAGG
rnacentral:rRNA from 1 species